UUUUCUCUCGUACCAAAACUGACACAGGUGGAUGAGGCGAAUAGCCUAAGGCGCGCGAGAGAACGGUCGUGAAGGAACUAGGCAAUUUGACCCCGUAACUUCGGGAUAAGGGGGCCCUCGCCGCAAGGCAGGGCGCAGAGAAAAGGAUCUGGGAACUGUUUAUCAAAAACACAGCUCUGUGCUAAGACGCAAGUCGAUGUAUACAGAGUGACGCUUGCCCGAUGCCGGAAUGUCAAGAGAGCGGGUCAUCGCAAGAGAAGCUCGCGAUCGAAGCACCGGUGAAUGGCGGCCGUAACUAUGACGGUCCUAAGGUAGCGAAGUUCCUUGUCGGGUAAGUUCCGACGCGCAUGAAUAGCGUAAUCACUGGAUCUCUGUCUCCACGACCGACUCGGUGAAAUAGUAGUGGCGGUGGAGAUGCCGCCUACCCGCAGCAAGACGGAAAGACCCCGUGGACCUUCACUAUAGGUCCCUAUUGGCCACGAGCAUAUGCUGCGUAGCAUAGGUGGGAGGCUUUGACGACCGGGUUCCGGCCCGGUAAGAGCCAAAGGUGAAAUACCACCCUGUGUAAGUUUGUGGCCUAACUCUGAUUCCCAUGAAUCUGGGCAGAGGACAGUGGGUGCCGGGUAGUUUGACUGGGGCGGUCUCCUCCAAAAAGGUAACGGAGGAGCGCAAAGUUCGGCUCAGCACGGAUGGAAACCGUGUUUCGAGUGUAAGAGCAUAAGCCGGAUUUACUGCGAGACCGACGGGUCGAGCAGUCUCGAAAGAGGGCUCUAGUGAUCCUGCGAUCCCGUGUGGAAGGGUCGUAGCUCAACGGAUAAAAGGUACCCCGGGGAUAACAGGCUGAUCGCGCCCGAGCGUCCAUAGCGGCGGCGCGGUUUGGCACCUCGAUGUCGGCCCAUCACAUCCUGGGACUGAAGGCGGCCCCAAGGGUUCGGCUGUUCGCCGAUUAAAGUGGUACGCGAGCUGGGUUCAGACCGGCGUGAGCCAGGUCGGUCCCUAUCUGCUGUGGGCGUUGCAAGCUUGAGAGGAGUCAACCUUAGUACGAGAGGAUUGGGUUGGACAUACCCCUGGUGAUCCAGUUGCACUGCUAAGUGCACAGCUGGGUAGCUACGUAUGGCAGGGAUAACCGCUGAAAGCAUCUAAGCGGGAAGCCCCCCUCGAGAUUAGGCUUGCUGGUCGAAAGACGAAAGACCCCUGGUAGACCACCAGGUUGAUAGGCUGCAAGUGUACGGGCAGAAAUGCCUUGAGCUGAGCGGUACUAACGGUCGAAGUUCGGUCAU
rnacentral:rRNA from 1 species